rnacentral:misc_RNA from 1 species
UACGGAGGGUUCGAGCGUUAAUCGGAAUUACUGGGCGUAAAGCGCGCGUAGGCGGGGUGAUAAGCCGGUGGUGAAAGCCCCGGGCUCAACCGGGGAACGGCAUCCGGAACUGUCAGGCUAGAGUGCAGGAGAGGAAGGUAGAAUUCGCGGUGUAGCGGUGAAAUGCGUAGAGAUCGGGAGGAAUACCAGUGGCGAAGGCGGCCUUCUGGAAUGACACUGACGCUGAGGUGCGAAAGCGUGGGUAGCAAACAGG